rnacentral:rRNA from 1 species
GACGAACCGUCCAACCGUUAUUCGGAAUCACUGGGCUUACAGAGUUCGUAGGCGGUCUGGAAAGUUGGGUGUGAAAUCCCUCGGCUCAACCGAGGAACUGCGCUUGAAACUACCAGACUCGAGGGAGAUAGAGGAAAGCGGAACUGAUGGUGGAGCGGUGAAAUGCGUUGAUAUCAUCAGGAACACCGGUGGCGAAGGCGGCUUUCUGGGUCUUACCUGACGCUGAGGAACGAAAGCCAGGGGAGCGAACGGG